GAGGUCCAACCUACAAUUUCAAGUCAAAUGGAACAAAGUAACACUCUUGGAAGUAGGUUGAAUGAGUAUAACACAAAACAACAGUCUUGUUAUACUUUAAAUGUUACUCAGCCCUGUCCUUGUCUCUUCUACCUCCAAGACCUUGUUUUCAGACCUGUGAGCAAUGUGUCCCACCAAACUCUACAGGUACUUGUUUAACAUUAUAAAUCAAAUGACUGGAGGAUCCCUUGGAAAUACUUUUAAAGACUUCACACCUACUUCAAACACCUGAUUCAACUAAAAUGUUAAAGUGGUAUUGUAAUAUUUGCUGGUUUGCACACUGGCUAAACUAGCGUAUAUAAUUAACUGGAAUGGACACUGGACAUUAUUAACGUGUUAUUUAUUCCACCAUCCUAGAUCACCCACUGACUCUCGCGUGAGUACAGGGAUAUUGCCCAGGGGCUAUGGUGUCCCUUUAGGGACAUAGUCAGAAUGUUACAGAAUGCGCAUACCUGCUCCUGUGAACUCUGUCUGCUGCGUUCCCACUCCACUUACAGUCUAUGCUCCAACCUCAUUAAAAUAAGACAUAAAUGGCAUUAAGAAGCGACACAACAUCCUCCUCACAAUCAUUAAUCUCCACAGAGGCCAAGAGUCCCAAAAUAUACAUUAUUGGGGACAGCUACAUUCGCCGUGGGGAAAAACAUGCGAGGGAGACCAUCGGGACCAACCUUGGCCUGAAUGCCCAGGUCCGGUGGUUUGGCUGGGGUGGCAUGGUUUGGAGAAAUGUCCUCUCCUUCUUCAAUCAGUGCCUUCGAGGAAGAGCUGUGCCAGAUGUCCUGUUGGUCCACUGUGGCGGCAACGACCUUGGGACCACCAAGAGCGUGAAGCUUGUUGCCAGGAUCAAGCAGGACUUGCAAGACCUCCAUCGGCAGUUCCCUCAGAUGAAAAUCAUCUUCUCUGCCAUCACCCAGAGAUGCCGCUGGAGGUCUUCUCAACCCAAAAAAAUUGACAAAUCCCGGUGCUAUGUUAACAGUGUGAUGUCUUCUUUUGUUUGUACUCUUGGAGGAAAGAUUGUACAUCAUCCUCAGAUAAAGCAUAGAGAUCCUGGACAAUUUUUGCAUGAUGGAGUUCAUUUCACCCCUUUGGGAAAUUAUAUAUUUUUUAAAAAUAUUGCCCAGUGUCUGGAAGACCAAAUCCAGUAGGGUUAUGCUGGAUUUGGAUUUCCCACCAAAAGUUUUGGUAUCAAAAGUAGUCCAGGAUUUUUAUACUUUAUGUGAUGAUUAAUUUGCACUAUUUUCUACAUGUACAAAGGAAGGCAACACACUGUUCUGUCACAGCUCUUUCUCUCCCUUCCUUUUCCUCCUCUAAACCCCUUGCUUUACCCCAGCCAUUCCACCUGAUACUUGAUUUUCUCAAUUGUUUCCCCACGGUGAAUGUAGUCAGGAAUUUCUAUGUA